GUCAACGCCUGCCCUCUGAUGGACAAAACGAGAACUGCGGGCAGUAUAUUUUUUGUGGCCAAAUUACAUACGAGGAGAACUUCGGUUAAGCUCUAAAAACAUAUAACUACACAUUAAAGCCGAAAAUACAACAGCAACGCCGCUGUUUUUAAAGUAUUGAUUUUAUUCAUACAAUAAAGUUAGAAAAUAAAAACAUUCCCGAACGCCAAUAAUCACAGUCAGUCAACCCCUGCCGUGUGGUGGACAAAAAAUGGACUGCACGCAGUAUAUAUAUAUUUUUUUUGUGGCCAGGAACGCAAAUAGAUUCGAGGUGAAUUUCGGCUGGGCUCUAUUAGCAGAAAACUGUAUUCAAACGCGUAUGUUUAAAUAAAACUAGUAUGGCAACAUUACACAUAUACUGCAACGUUAUGCAGUAUAUUUUUGGUGGCGAGGAAGGCGAUUUCAUACGAGUUGAACUUCGGUUAAGAUCUAUAAACACAACUGUAUCUAUUACUAGAUUUUUGGGCUCAUCUUCAAAUAAAGAUAUAAACUCUAAAUCCAAAUUUGCAUUCAAGUUGCUAAUCCGAGAUUGCUGUUCAGCAAUUUUACAGGCUGAAAUAAAACAGCAACACCACUACUGGUAUGAUUUUGAGUUUAUUCAUAGAAUAAAGUUACAAAUUAAAAACAUUCCCACGCACACACAGUUCAGGUCAGGUGACCCUCCAUCCUCAGUUGUCAGGUCGGAGGUCACUUGCUGGUGGGCUUGUAUGGGUCGGACCAGACCUUGACCCAUACAGCGCCACAGGGAAACAACAAAGACAAACGGUAAACGGACUGCAUUUAUACCGCGCCUUUCUAACUAGUGGCCAAUCAGUGCUUUACAAUAUAGGCUAACAUUCACCCAUUCACACAGUGAUGGCAGAGUCAUCCACGCAGGGCGACAGUCAGCUCCUCAGGAGCAGUCAGGGUGAGGCGUCUCGCCCAGGGACACCUCCACACUCCUGAGCCACAUACCGCCCGAGAGAUGAGAUUAGAACCAACUCACGCAGCAGUGCAGAACGUUGCCGGAUCAAUUUGCACGAUUGACCACUGGGUGCUCUUAGCCCAAAGCCAUUUCAGCCUAGAUAUAUGAUGGAUAGAUCAGUCACACACAACACUAAGGGGGUGCUGAAAUGGGCCUCGAGAUAAGAAGGUCAGGUUAUGCAAAGGACUACAAUGACGAGCAUCAAAUCAGACUACAGAGGCAAAAGUACAAGAAAGCAAGACAUCGGCGAUCACAACUGUCUCAAAAACACACCCUCUAAGCACUAUAACAACGCGUGUGAAUGUUGUCACCAAUUACAUUUUUCCAUCCCAGUAUGCUUGAUACCUUGCCAAGGAGGCACCGUUUGACUUCAGUUUUGUAAGUAGGCAUCACAUUAAAUGAAAAAGAGCUGACGAUUGAAAAGAUACGUUUAAAAUAAGAAUUGGAUUUUUGAAGGUUACAAUAUCGAAAAAUUCAUACUUGUAUACAUAUUUUAUCAUUGUCAAUUCUUGGAAUAUCCCUUUACUUUAGAAAGACAUGCCUGUCCUCAGAAAAUGGUGGUGCACAGUACUGCUUGAGAACUUCCAUCUGGAUGGGCACAGCAGAAGGUUCCCACACUUCAUGAGAAGCCAAACAAAUGGCGGCUGAACUACUUCCACCAGUCUUCAGACUGAAGCGAAAAAGAGAAUGAGUUGAAGCUGAUGGCAGUCAGCAUGAAGAAGCUAUAACUUUAGGCUUCUGUAGAUUAUUUGUUAAAUAAAUUGUGAGGAAACUUUGGUGUGGUUAUUCGUCAAUGUAUAUUUAUAUCAAAUUAUGAUGGUAUACUUUACAAAAAAUAAAUUUGAUUCAAUUAGACAU